GGCAGAGUAAGCUAAAGAAGCUCUCGGGCCCAUACCCCGAAUAUGAAGGUUAAAUUCCAUCCACUGCCA
rnacentral:tRNA from 1 species